AGGUUUAAAGAAUGGUAACCAAAAAGGUUGGAUCGAAUUUGUGAACUUUUUUGCUGCUAAUACUUUGUACCAGCUUGGAGGAUUCGUUCAAAAUCGAUUGUAUACGUUUUGUUUGGAAUUGUGUUUAAAGGCUGGAAGUCAGUAAUCCAGAGUCCGGCUCCUGGAUGGGCUGUGAGGCCCCCAGAGUCAGUUGUGUUUUGGGUAAAAGAAACCUUCCAUACAGUGGUGGCUGUGGUGAAAACAGCUGGGAUUAGUGCAGCUGUAAAGAGAUGGAGCUUUAGACUAAAAUGAAAAUGACACAUAUUGUAUUCAACUAUGGGCUAAAAGAACAGUAACUUUCCUUUACUUCCUGUUUAUGUUAUGGUGGGUUUAGAGGGGUGCAUGUCAAACACAAACUGGUAGACUUCUGGCAAGCUUUGCAGCUGGCGAACAGCUCCUCUGAGAUUAGUUGACCAAACUAAACAAAAGAUCUACAAAAACAAUGAGUCCACAAGCUGUCAAAAACAACCAACGCACAACCAUAAAAAAACAAAGGCUUUAAAUAGGGUUGAUGACAGAAAAUUCUUUGUCGACCGUGGCCUUGGGAGGGCAAGCAAAUCAAGAGAAAGUUCUGUUACACCGACAUGUAAAUGAAAUUGUUAGGAUCCAAUUUGAAUAAAAACAAGUCAAGCUGGGCCCUAAAUAAAUCACAAAAAAGGAUGGGAGGGGGGAUUAAGUUAAGUUAAGAUGAAGUUUUCCCCUUUUGUCUAUUGAGUUAGGUUUUCAAAGUUGCAACUCAUUUUCUUACUUUAUACAGUUUAGCAGCUUUCAUGCUCACACAACACCUAAACCUAAGGAUUCCUUAACAGCUGAGAGAAGCUUAAAAAUCUCCACAUUAAUCAUUUCUAUCAGGUUCUUUAUAUGAUUUAAAGGAAAAUACUGAAUGGAAAGUAAAGUUGAGGCGGAAGACAGCGUUGCAUAUAUGGUGAAAAUCGAGCGAGAGACCACAUGAAGGGCUGACGCCUUCGGCGAGGAUGAGAUGCACCUGUGAGGGGGAUGCUGCAGGCAGCCCUACCCUUGCUCUCUGCUCUGCAGACCAGCUGACUUGUGUUAGUGAGAGAAGUCAGUCAAGGACAGCAACAUUCAGGCGUACCUGAAAUGAACCCAAUUCCUCCAAGCUAACAGUGCUAUAGAGGCAGGAGUGAAAGUUGAUUUAAGCCAGAAAAGGGGGAGCUGACGCUCCAGCCAGACACCUGAUGCCCUCCUCCAGGCACCAAGAACCACCGAAAGAUUCCUCAGGCCUGUGAAACCACCCGGCUGUGCGCAGGGUUCAAAGAUUCAACAAAUUCCAGGGCAGCUUUCAGGGGAGAGUUACUUUGUGAGCGACCACACAGAACCGAAAAACCUCCAAAGGUUUUAGAAUUGUGUUUACACAUUUAGCAAAGUUGUCAGUGACGACAACAAGAAAUUUUGAAGCAGUUAUUGGUGAAAAAAUGUUUUAUUUUCUAUCAUAGUGAUAGAAAAUAUGUCAAUCAAACAAGAUCCAACCGGAUUUCCAUAUUGGUCGAUAAAAAUGCUUGGUUGAAUAGUAAA